rnacentral:rRNA from 1 species
GACGAACCGCCCGAACGUUGUUCGGAAUCACUGGGCUUAAAGGGAGCGUAGGCGGGCUGCCAAGUCCGGGGUGGAAUCCUCCAGCUUAACUGGAGAACUGCCUCGGAUACUGGAAGUCUCGAGGAGGGUAGGGGCAAGUGGACCGUGGGUGGAGCGGUGAAAUGCGUUGAUAUCCAUGGGAACUCCGGUGGCGAAGGCGACUUGCUGGACCCUUCUCGU